UACGUAGGGGGCAAGCGUUGUCCGGAAUCAUUGGGCGUAAAGAGCGUGUAGGCGGCCCGAUAAGUCCGCUGUGAAAGUCCAGGGCUCAACCUCGAGACGCCGAUGGAAACCAUGUGGCUAGAGUCCGGAAGAGGAGAGUGGAAUUCCUGGUGUAGCGGUGAAAUGCGCAGAUAUCAGGAAGAACACCCGUGGCUAAGGCGGCUCUCUAGUACGGUACUGACGCUGAGACGCGAAAGCGUGGGGAGCGAACAGG
rnacentral:rRNA from 1 species